CACAGUUAGUAAAUUACUUUGUAUUAUUUAGAUAUUAUAAAGUUUCCACAGUAUGCAUAAUAAAUUUAAAUAGCGGGUAAAAAUAUUUCUCCGUAGACAGCAGUGUCUGAAGAUGUUGUGGCACGGGCACACCAUCGGAGACGAGGUCAAGUUCACAUACAAGUAUCAGUCUAUGUAUUCGAUAUGCUGGACACUGAAAAACUAUGUGCUCCAGAUCUGCAAGAUCAUGUUGGCACUCCGGGCAAGGCCAUGCUGAAUGUGUGGUGAAAGUCAGUAUAUGGUGUCUUCAUUGAGUUGCUGUGGUUUUCAUCGGCGCGUCCUCUGGUGGCCUGAUCAGCCAGUUCAUUUCCAAUUAUGCCAUUAUGUGAAGUUGAGGAUCGUAGAAUGCUGAUGUUACACCAUCUGAGCUCUUAGACCCAUCAGUGUAAAUUCUAUACACACCAUUAUUGUCACCAAUAAAUUGAUGGAGAUCUGACUGAACUUUACCCGGGACUCCAAUCUCACAGAGGAUCUGCGCAAGGACAUCAGGGCUGACAUUAUCGAACGCGCCUUGGACAUCGAGAAAGGCACAUACUGUCGCUGAGUGGUUAUAAAAACUAUUCUGGAUGUCACUUACAAGAGUUACAAAAUUUUCAGAAGCACUUUUGCCCCUACGGAACCCAAACUACUCAGGAGGCGGUGUUAAAGGAGCAUAUUUGUCGAAAAAUGGAUUUAUCCAACUGUCAUCUUCACUAUGUUUCUGAAAAGGUAUGCGUUUAAAUCUCCUUACAUAAUUCCAAAUAACACUAACAGGUGCAUUGCUAUUAAAUGUCUCACAUAAACUUUUCCAACUAUUCUUUUUCUUUUGCCUCAGUAGUUUUUUCUUAAUAGCAUCCGAUCUUUUAUAUUUUAUAAAGUUUUCUGUACUAGGCAGCAGUCUGUAAUAAUUAAGGGCAUCUUUACUUUUCUUUACAGCAUCUGCGCAUUCAUUGUCCCACCAUGGAACUGGUUUUUUGUUAGUGUAUUGGGAUAUGCGAGUGGCUUUUGGUAUACAUUUAUCUUUAAUGAUAUUUGAAAUGCUAAUAAAUUUUUCAUAGCACGAAAGCGGAUCUGAAGUGUUAAUGGAAAAUUCUUUGAAAGCUUUUCUUGUUUCAGAAUUGAACAAAGUCCAGUUUGCUUUUUUUGUACAAAUAACGGUCAGAGGGAUUAUUAACUUCAUAUUUUUCUACAUUUAGGUAAAUGUCACAAAUAGUGGGAUAGUGGCAGCUGCCCAUUGGGUCGUCAUGUACUCUCCAAUGGCAGAAAGGGGCUAUAGAUGGAGUCUAGUGAUAUUUUUGUUUGCACUACUUUGUGUUACUUCCGGUUUGGGUGUUGGUGCUGGUGCCUUUGUAUGUUUUGUUAAAGGUAAACUAGGGAAUUCUGUUGAAUUCACAAGUUUAGGCGUAUUAAUAAUUUGGGAGUACGACAUUCUAGAGAGCCUUGCAUCUCUUUCAGCAAUUUUUUUCCUUUUAAAUAUACAGUCCCGAGAUACUGCAACAUGUGGUUCUUCACAGUUAAUACACUUAAUUAGUGAGUUUUCAGGGCAUUCGGAAUAAUGAUGUUCCAUGGAACAAAUGGGACAUUUUUGAGUGGAUUUGCAAAUCUUUGCACUAUGAUUAUAUUUAAAACAUUUGUAACAUUGCAUAAGAGGAGCUUUGUAUUCACUGACCGUGAACCUAUAUAUGUCUAGAUAUACACAUUCAGGUAAUGUAACUGUUAAAAAAGUAAUGCUGAUGGUACCUAAUGGUUUUCUUUCACCGUUCACCCUUUUCAUAAAACGCCUGACACCAAUAAUUUCAUGUGAAGAGGAGAGUUUAAACAGUUCUUCAUUAGAUCUGCUUGUGGGAACAGAUCUUACCACUCCUAUCGCUUCCACGGCCCUAGCUGGUAUGUAAACUUUAAAAUCGUUUUUAGUAUGAAAGUCGGAAUUUUUAAGAACCGCAUUUUCAUUUAUUGUCUGUUCAAACAAUACGCUCACUUUACUUGCAUUGACUCGUUUGAUAUUUUUCGCGCCCUUGACUUCGUUUUUGAAUAAGCUGCCAAGCGUUAUUGGAUUUUGGUUCCCAAGUUUGGUGUCUUUAGUGCUUUCUACAAAAACAGAGUACUCACCCUUGCUGGUACUCUCAGGGAAGACACGUGUGUAUCCUUGUUUAUAAUAUGGUCUAUAAUAGUUAUCACUGUCCUCGCUGGUAUUGUUCCGCGAAACCUCGUCUCCGGAAUAAUGUCUUUUAGGGGGUGGAGGUCUAUAGGCUCCACGGUCGUCCGGGGGGGUAUCCCCCGGAGGUUCAAACAUAUUUUACACUAUUUAUAA